rnacentral:rRNA from 1 species
CCCUUAGAUGUCCUGGGCCGCACGCGCGCUACACUGAGUGUCUGAGAUACGAGUCUGCCUGGUCCGGCAAGGUCUAGGUAAUCGCUAAAAGACACAUCAUGCUUGGGAUAGAUUAUUGCAAAUAUUAAUCUUGAACGAGGAAUUCCUAGUAAGCGCAAGUCAACAGUUUGCGUUGAUUACGUCCCUGCCCUUUGUACACACCGCCCGUCGCUACUACUGAUUGGAUGUUUAAGCGAGGUUCUCGAACUGCUAGCGACUUAGCUUCGGUGAGGUCGCAGUGUGGGAAGUGAACCUAGCUUUGGUGUCUAGAGGAAGUAAAAGUCGUAACA